UUAAGAUAGUAACAGGCUGCAUACAAAAAAGUUAGUAGUAGGUUUCUUUUAAUAUAUCAUUUAAGAGAGGUGUGUAUAUUAUUCCCAAAUUCCUAAAUUUAAGCCCUUAGAAUUCCUUUGUACUUAACCUCAACAAGACACAAUUUCUUCAAAGUUAUUUGGAGCUGUGUUGUAUGCAUGUAAAAACGUCGACUGGAAUAGAAUGGGGCUUAUAAAGUGGAACUUAGCUGGCCAUACAGUCAGAGCAAAUGAUGACCGAUGGAUAAAGAUAGUUUUGACGCGAAUACAAGUAUAUAGAAAUAGGGAACAACCUCAAACAAUACAAAUCAAUUUCAUAAAAACAAUAGUAGCUAACUGGAUCUGGCGAUUGCCUAGCAGCAAGGCCAUUAAUACAGCAGCAACUGGAUAGUAAGAGAAAAGCUUAACCUUCGAGAGUUGUAUAUAUGAGAGAGAUAUUGUAUGGGCCCAACCAAAACUCAUACAUAGAUCACGAAUCAGUAAACCAUAGAGUGCCUAGUAGAAAAUACAAAUACGGGACAAAUCGGAAUAAUCCGACACGCGGCGUCACUAGCGUCCGCUUUAGUGGGCUUUCACACCAAAGUAGCAUGCGACGUGCGACUUGCUGCUUGGAAGCAAGAAGCAUGCUACUUAUCUAAAACCUAUACAUUUUAUGAACGGUUUCACACCGAAGUAGCGUCGCAAAAAUGCUACGUGGCAACGUGCGGCGUGCGACGUGAGUAUACGACAGGUCGUAUAAUAUGCUACGCGGCUGCGUGUUCCCUUGCUGCCCACACGUUGUUUAUAGCCAUUUGGUGAUUGAGCAUCUGAAUGCAAAAAAAAUGGAAAACACUUCGAGGUAGCCUCACGAGAUACGUGAAACAGCGUGCUGGAAAAAGUGGAGAUUCAGCUAAAUCAAAAAAGCCGUAUUACUUAUGGGACGUUAUGCAAUUCGUAUUACCAUUCACCAAAUCAAGACCUCAUUCGGAGGCAAGUUUGCAAGAUGGAAAUUCUUUUUUAAGUACACCAUCUACAAAAAGAAAAACUUCUGCAAUACCACCAGACGAUGAAAUGGAGCAUGCUGUCAUUAAUUAUCUUUCUCAAAUAAGCGCGCCACAACCUGAAAACUCUGACCUACAUUUUUUUUAAAGCAUUUUUCCGGAUAUGGGUAUUUUAAAUGCAUCUCAGAAACGAAGAUUCAAAGUAGUGACAGACAUUAGGCAAUAUGUUGCAAGAAAAGAAUACAUCAACAUCAGCGAGCGCUUCUUUGUCUACGAAUGACAGGCAGGCUAAUGCUGUUUUAAUGUAUUCUUCUGAUCUUUCAGCAUCAAACACGGCGCAUACGUCCCAUAUGUAUAAUAACAUUCCUGUUGGCACAUUCACUCCGGAUUAAUUUGGAGGUAUGCUCAUCAACGAAGGUAACUCCACAUCACAUAAUCAGCCUGCUUAUGACGCUAAUACACCUAACCAAAAUGAUCAAUCAUUGACGCAGUAGCGAUUUAGUGAUAUAUAAGUUUUUUAAGUAUAUGUAUAAUGAAAACAUGUUUUAGCAAAU